CUACGGGAGGCAGCAGUGGGGAAUAUUGGACAAUGGGGGAAACCCUGAUCCAGCAAUGCCGCGUGUGUGAAGAAGGCCUGCGGGUUGUAAAGCACUUUCGGUUGGGAGGACUGCUUCUAGCACUAAUAUUGUUGGAAGUUGACGUUACCUUCAGAAGAAGCACCGGCUAACUCCGUGCCAGCAGCCGCGGUAAUACGGAGGGUGCAAGCGUUAAUCGGAAUUACUGGGCGUAAAGCGCGCGUAGGCGGCUAGUUCAGUCGGGUGUGAAAGCCCCGGGCUUAACCUGGGAACUGCAUCCGAUACUGUCUAGCUUGAGUACAGGAGAGGAGAGUGGAAUUCCACAUGUAGCGGUGAAAUGCGUAGAUAUGUGGAGGAACACCAAUGGCGAAGGCAGCUCUCUGGCCUGAUACUGACGCUGAGGUGCGAAGGCGUGGGGAGCAAACAGGAUUAGAUACCCUUGUAGUC
rnacentral:rRNA from 1 species